AUGGCCCAGAAAGUAACUCAAAACCAACCAGAAAUUACUGUGCUGGAGAAGGAGGAUAUAACCUUGAACUGUGCAUAUGAAGCUAAUAGUUAUAAUUAUUUAUUCUGGUACAAGCAACAACCAAGUGGGGAAAUGAUUUUCCUUAUUCAUCAGGAGUCUUUCAAUGAGCUGAAUAGAACAAAAGGUCAGUAUUUUUUGAACUUCAAGAAAGCAACGAGUUCCAUCAGCCUCACCAUCACAGACCUACAGCUCGAGGACUCAGCGGUGUAUUUCUGUGCUCUGAGAGACCACAGUGAUGCGGUGCCUGAGGGAGCCCUACAGAAACCUCAGAUGUCAACAUGUGGAGUCCCCCAGCUAUGA